rnacentral:lncRNA from 1 species
AAAACCAAAGAUCUAGGGUUUAAAACCCAAACCCUAACCCUAGGUUUGCAUCAAUGGUGCAAUCCAUGGUUCAAAGCUUCAAUGUGAGCUAGAACCAUCUUCUCUAACUCAAAUGGGUUCCAUUUGAACCACUCAAAAGCAACCAAAACCCUAAACCCUAGAAAUGCCAUUUUAGGGUUAGAGCUUACCUCUAAAAGCUUGCUCCAAAGCUAGCUUUAGCUUGAAAGAGGGAAGGGAGAUGAGCUCCUACUCCUUCUCCUUGAUCUUCUCCUUCCUUUCCUCUUCUUCUUCUUGUUCUUCCUCUCCUUCCUUUCUUCUUCUUCUUCUUUCUUUCUCUUUUCGGUUAGAGAGAGAGAGAGCAAGAGAGGUGUGAGAGAGGGAGAGAAAUGAGAGGGAAAUGAGAGGGGAGUGGACCCUCAGCCCUCAUAAAGGCAUAUUUGCAACUAAGCCCCUCUAUUUUUCCCAUAUUUAAAACAUUUCCUGCUAUUCGGGCUCCUUGUACCGGUACACGGGGUCUUGUACCGGUACAAGACCUGACAGACAGCCCAACCCGAGAGCUGGUUCUCUCGGUUUCGCAGGGCUUGUACCGGUACAAGGCCCCUUGUACCGGUACAGGACCUGGCAGCUCCAACC